CCUGCGGAGGGAUCAUUACAAGUGACCCCGGUUUACCACCGGGAUGUUCAUAACCCUUUGUUGUCCGACUCUGUUGCCUCCGGGGCGACCCUGCCUUCGGGCGGGGGCUCCGGGUGGACACUUCAAACUCUUGCGUAACUUUGCAGUCUGAGUAAACUUAAUUAAUAAAUUAAAACUUUUAACAACGGAUCUCUUGGUUCUGGCAUCGAUGAAGAACGCAGCGAAAUGCGAUAAGUAAUGUGAAUUGCAGAAUUCAGUGAAUCAUCGAAUCUUUGAACGCACAUUGCGCCCCCUGGUAUUCCGGGGGGCAUGCCUGUUCGAGCGUCAUUUCACCACUCAAGCCUCGCUUGGUAUUGGGCAACGCGGUCCGCCGCGUGCCUCAAAUCGACCGGCUGGGUCUUCUGUCCCCUAAGCGUUGUGGAAACUAUUCGCUAAAGGGUGCUCGGGAGGCUACGCCGUAAAACAACCCCAUUUCUAAGGUUGACCUCGGAUCAGGUAGGGAUACCCGCUGAACUUAAGCAUAUCAAUAAG
rnacentral:rRNA from 1 species